AAUCAGUAGCACGAACCCUCGUGUGAUUGAGAACCAGAGAGCCAGACAGCUGUGUAUCGAUGUGCGUCACUCGCUGUUUUACGAGACCUGCGCCACCUACGGGUUCAACGUGGAUCGAGUGUUUUCAGAGGCUGCACAGAAGAUAGUCGCUCAGAAGAAGCUGGCGGCGCUGCAAGCCUGCAAGUCUCUGCCCAACUCCCCCAGCCACUCAGGGGGCUCCACCCCGGGGUCCGCAUCCUUCCCCAGCCAGGCCAGUAAUGGCUCGACUUGUGGCUACGCCCACUCCCUCCCCUCCACCCCCGUGAUCGCUCACAGAGAUCUGAGGGUGGCUCAGGGAGAGGGGGGGGGAGGAGGAAGUGUCAACUCACGCUCGCUGAAGAACAUCCCCCGCCGGCCCUCCCUCUUCAAGAACCGGGACUCAGAUAAGAAGUCUGGUGAUGGUAAAGGAGAUCAGAGCAACACGAGAGGCGUCCCUAUCAAACAG